rnacentral:rRNA from 1 species
GUGCCUUUCGGGAACUCGGAGACAGGUGCUGCAUGGCUGUCGUCAGCUCGUGUCGUGAGAUGUUGGUUAAGUCCCGCAACGAGCGCAACCCUUGUCUUUAAUUGCCAGCAUUCAGUUGGGCACUUUAAGAGACUGCCGGUGUUAAGCCGGAGGAAGGUGGGGAUGACGUCAAGUCCUCAUGGCCUUUAUGCCCAGGGCUACACACGUGCUACAAUGGGUGGUACAAAGAGAUGCCAACUCGCGAGAGCGCGCCAAUCUCAGAAAGCCAUCCUCAGUUCGGAUUGGAGUCUGCAACUCGACUCCAUGAAGUUGGAAUCGCUAGUAAUCGCGGAUCAGCACGCCGCGGUGAAUACGUUCCCGGGCCUU